rnacentral:rRNA from 1 species
UGGGGAAUUUUCCGCAAUGGGCGAAAGCCUGACGGAGCAAUACCGCGUGAGGGAGGAAGGCUCUUGGGUUGUAAACCUCUUUUCUCAGGGAAGAACAGAAUGACGGUACCUGAGGAAUAAGCAUCGGCUAACUCCGUGCCAGCAGCCGCGGUAAUACGGAGGAUGCAAGCGUUAUCCGGAAUGAUUGGGCGUAAAGGGUCCGCAGGUGGCAUUGUAAGUCUGCUGUUAAAGAGUUUGGCUCAACCAAAUAAGAGCAGUGGAAACUACAAAGCUAGAGUGUGGUCGGGGCAGAGGGAAUUCCUGGUGUAGCGGUGAAAUGCGUAGAUAUCAGGAAGAACACCAGUGGCGAAGGCGCUCUGCUGGCCA